AUAUAAUAACCAAAAUCAAAUACUCAAUAGAUGGGCUUAAUAGCAGAAUGGAUGAAGCAGAAUGAAGAAUUAGUGGACUUGAAAAUGGAACAAGUUUUUAUAUAAUACUUGUUUAUUAUGAAAAUUUCAGAAGCAAUUAUUGUUAUCCUUGGGAAAGCAUAAUAGAUUUAUUUUUUACUGAAAAUAGAAGCAAGCAUAAUGAACCUGAAAAUUCUGGUUUACAGGAAAAAAACCCAUAAUAAUUAAUAUGUUUCAGAUAAAUAUGAAGAACUUUGGAAAUACCUCUGUGACAUCGGAUGCAGUUUGUGUUUGGGAAGUAUCACUGAUAAGAAAUAAUACUAAAAAUUAACAACCCCAUUGAAAAGU
rnacentral:lncRNA from 1 species